rnacentral:sRNA from 1 species
UUAACCUUGAGCAGUCCUGUUGCUGGAAAGGAGGUGUUGCACAUGGACGUAACCUCAGACGUCUUACUUGCUAUCAUAGCAGAUAUAAUAUCCGGUAUAUUGCUCUAUUUCAUCUGCAAAUGGCUGGAUAGCAAGGACAACUAGUGUUGUCAGCCUAAAAACGCCCGUUCAUCUAAAAAGCCCGUAGGUAGUAACGAUACCUAUGGGCUUUGGCGUUGCUAU